UUGGAGGGCAAGUCUGGUGCCAGCAGCCGCGGUAAUUCCAGCUCCAAUAGCGUAUAUUAAAGUUGUUGCCGUUAAAAAGCUCGUAGUUGAACCUUGGACCUGGCUGAUCUGUCCUCCUAAUCGAGCGUACGGAUUCGGUCGGGUCUUUCCUUCUGGGGAACCCUAUGUCCUUCAUUGGGUGUAGUGGGGAACCAGGACUUUUACCUUGAAAAAAUUAGAGUGUUCAAAGCAGGCCUUUGCUCGAAUACAUUAGCAUGGAAUAAUAGAAUAGGACAUCGGUUCUAUUUUGUUGGUUUCUAGGACCGCUGUAAUGAUUAAUAGGGAUAGUCGGGGGCGUCCGUAUUCAAUUGUCAGAGGUGAAAUUCUUGGAUUUAUUGAAGACGAACUACUGCGAAAGCAUUCGCCAAGGAUGUUUUCAUUAAUCAGUGAACGAAAGUUAGGGGAUCGAAGACGAUCAGAUACCGUCGUAGUCUUAACCAUAAACUAUGCCGACUAGAGAUCGGACGGUGGUUUUUUUAUGCCCCGUUCGGCGCCUUACGGGAAAC
rnacentral:rRNA from 1 species